CAUGGCGUGCAUUUUGCGCGCGGACAUGCCUAGGCUUCGGCUUGGGUGUGCUCUCGUCCUUGCCUGUUUGUACCUUUUGUUGCUUCCUCGGCGGGAGUUUUCCCGCCGCUAGGAACCCCAAAACCACCUUGCAAUCAGCAGUCUAUUCUGAUAACAUACCUAAAUAUCUUA
rnacentral:misc_RNA from 1 species